GAUGAACGCUGGCGGCGUGCCUAAUACAUGCCAGUCGAGCGAACAGACGAGGAUUUUGCUCCACUCACGUUAGCAGCGGACGGGUGAGUAACACGUGGUUAACCCUCCUAUAAGACUUGGAUAACUGCGGGUAACCGGAGUUACUAACGGAUAAUAUAUUGAACCGCAUGGUUGAAUAGUGAAAGCCGUGUUUGCUGACCCUUAUAGCUGGAUCCGCGCUGGUGUAGUGAGUUGGUAAGGUAACGGCUUACCAAGGCAACGAUGGGUAGCCGACCUGAGAGGGGGAUGCGCCACACUGGGGGUGAGACACGGUCCAGGCUCCUACGGGCGGCAGCAGUAGGGAAUCUUGCGAGAUGGGCGGAAGCCUGACGGAGCAGCGCAGCGUGGGUGAUGCAGGUCUUCGGAUCGUAUGACUCUGUUAUUAGGGAAGACCAAAUGUGUAAGUAACUAUGCUCGCCUUGACGGUACCUAGACAGAAAGCCCCGGCUAACUACGUG
rnacentral:rRNA from 1 species